rnacentral:rRNA from 1 species
GACGAACGCUGGCGGCGUGCUUAACACAUGCAAGUCGAACGGAAAGGCCCUGCUCUUGUGGGGUGCUCGAGUGGCGAACGGGUGAGUAACACGUGAGUAACCUGCCCUUGACUUUGGGAUAACUUCAGGAAACUGGGGCUAAUACCGGAUAGGAGCUCCUGCUGCAUGGUGGGGGUUGGAAAGUUUCGGCGGUUGGGGAUGGACUCGCGGCUUAUCAGCUUGUUGGUGGGGUAGUGGCUUACCAAGGCUUUGACGGAUAGCCGGCCUGAGAGGGUGACCGGCCACAUUGGGACUGAGAUACGGCCCAGACUCCUACGGGAGGCAGCAGUGGGGAGUAUUGCACAAUGGGCGGAAGCCUGAUGCAGCAACGCCGCGUGCGGGAUGACGGCCUUCGGGUUGUAAACCGCUUUCGCCUGUGACGAAGCGUGAGUGACGGUAAUGGGUAAAGAAGCACCGGCUAACUACGUG